rnacentral:lncRNA from 1 species
CGAGGUGGCAGGGCUCUGGGCUGGGGCUAUAUUAAUAGUUGCUGAGCCCCUAGAGUCCAUGUGAAUCACAGGAGGGCGGCACAGUGUGCACUGGGAGGGAAGGCCAUGGAGUUCCUGCUGAACCACUCAACAGCUUAAAAUACAACCAGCCCCUCUCCCUACUGGGCCAGCUGCCGGGGAGGGCUGAAAUCCUAGCCUCUCCCCCAGCUGGGGCACUGCAGCCAGGCCAGGAGCCGUGGUGCACCAACUGGUGGGCAGCAGGAGAGCGCGUGGAGAGGGGCCACGGUGAAGAGCAAUCCCAAGCCACAAGCUGAGGGACUGCCUGCAGCAGAGACUCGGGCAAGCCAGGAAGCUUAAGGAAGCCAGAGACCCUGAGGAUGAACUGACUAGAGGUGUUCGACGGCCACUGUCCGUUAUGCCCGCCCCUGGCUCCACCCAAGCCGGCAGGCAGGUGAGUCCACGCAUGCGCCGCAUGCGCUCAGCUUGCCAGAAUAAUCCCCUUUGACUGUGAAAAACCAACGCACAUUCCAGACACUGGAAAUCUGGAGAGCCGGCCACAUUAGGACAAACAUCUUUGCCAGGAACUCGCUGAGCAUAUAUAAGGUCUAGUUUUAACCCCCAGCGUAAAGGAAAGACAGCAAGGGAAUGAAUAUGUAAAGCAAAUAGGUCUACAUGAGGUGACAUCACAUCACAAAACAUCACACGGGACAGACACAGGUGUGGUGGAGGCAGGACGUACAUGAAGUUUUCUAUACAAAGUGGUCAAGAAAAACCUCCCUAGUCAUACUUCAGAAGGCACAGGCAGGUGGAUCUGAGUGUGAGGCUAGCCUGGCCUACGUGAGUGUCGGGCUGGCCAGGCUAGAGUACUUAGUGAAAUCCUGUCAGGAGAGGGAGGGUGAGGAUGCAGCUCCCUGAUGGGGCUCUCGGUCAAGCCCUGAAAGAAUCAAGGCUGAAGGUGGCCAUCCUCACAGAAGAGCAGCUGUGCCAAGGGCCUCAAGUUAAGCGGAACAGAUGCUCACAGAUGUGUGGUCUGGAGUCAUAUGCAUGAGAGGAAGAAGAUGAGGUGGAAAUGCAGAGGUGACAUGGCAGACGGUCCUAAGGGCUGGGUGAGGAGAGGCCUGACUUGAGUUUAAAUCUGCUUGCUUUGCUGUGACUGCUGACAUGGCGUUUCACUGUGUAGUCAGUCCUCUCUGACCUGGAACUCAUUCCAUGCCUGUAGUGGUCUGCAGCCUCCUGGGUGCUCGGAUUAAAGGCGAGCACCACCAACCCCAGCUGUGGCUUGAAUUCUUAAGGGAUCCUUUUGAGAGAAUUAGUAGUCUGGAAGCAGAGGCCUGCCAGAGGCUGUGAAAAUAAUUCCCUCCAAACAGCAGCAGCGCUAGACACGGGAGCACACAGGAGGGUACUGGCAGUACACCGGAAAGGUCAGACUGAGACCCUCCAUCCAUCCAUCCCAUUAAACACCUACCUGGAAGCUAGACACCCCAGCACUGAGAGGUUGAAACAAGAGGAUCUCAAGUUCAGGCCAGCCUGGGCUACAUGGCAAAAACUUUAUCUCAAAAAUAAAGAUACACCUGGAUCUGGAUGGGGCUCAGAAUGCGGUCCU